rnacentral:tRNA from 1 species
GAAAGAUUAGUUUAAAAAACAUGAAGCUUCGACCUUCAAAUUCUUAGUAAAAUCCUAAGAUCUUUUU